GAUGAAGAACGUAGCGAAAUGCGAUAAGUAAUGCGAAUUGAAGAAUUCAGUGAAUCAUCGAAUCUUUGAACGCACAUUGCGCCCGCCAGUACUCUGGCGGGCAUGCCUGUCUGAGCGUCAUUUCAACCCUCGCGCCCGGCUUCUGUCGGGGGCGGUGUUGGGGAUCGGCCUCCCGUCUUCCGGGCGGCCGGCCCCUAAAUGGAGUGGCGACCGCGCCGUAGCCUCCUCUGCGUAGUAGUGAAACACUCGCGGGCGGAGAGCGGUGCGGCCCGCCGUAAAACCCCCAACUCUUCUAAGGUUGACCUCAGAUCAGGUAGGAAUACCCGCUGAACUUAAGCAUAUCAAUAAGCGGAGGA
rnacentral:misc_RNA from 1 species